rnacentral:rRNA from 1 species
CUUUUAUGGAGAGUUUGAUCUUGGCUCAGGACGAACGCUGGCGGCGUGCCUAAUACAUGCAAGUCGAGCGCGGGAAGUAGACGGAUCCCUUCGGGGUGAAGUUUGUGGAACGAGCGGCGGACGGGUGAGUAACACGUGGGCAACCUACCUGUAAGACUGGGAUAAC